AUGGCUACAGACUACAACCAUCUGGUCCAGAUCUACCUACUGUAGGGCUGGCUACAGACUACAACCAUCUGGUCCAGAUCUACCUACUGUAGGGCUGGCUACAGACUACAACCAUCUGGUCCAGAUCUACCUACUGUAGGGCUGGCUACAGACUAGAACCAUCUUGUCCAGAUCUACGUACUGUAGGGCUUGCUACAGACUACAACCAUCUGGUCCAGAUCUACCAACUGUAGGGCUGGCUACAGACUACAACCAUCUGGUCCAGAUCUACCUACUGUAGGGCUGGCUACAGACUACAACCAUCUGGUCCAGAUCUACCAACUGUAGGGCUGGCUACAGACUACAACCAUCUGGUCCAGAUCUACCUACUGUAGGGCUGGCUACAGACUACAACCAUCUGGUCCAGAUCUACCAACUGUAGGGCUGGCUACAGACUACAACCAUCUGGUCCAGAUCUACCAACUGUAGGGCUGGCUACAGACUACAACCAUCUGCAAAAUCUUCAACAG